rnacentral:tRNA from 1 species
GUGACCGUAGCUCAGCGGUAGAGCGCUUCCCUGUGGAGGAAGAUGCCGUGGGUUCAAAUCCCACCGGUCACC